rnacentral:rRNA from 1 species
UGGGGAAUUUUGGACAAUGGGGGAAACCCUGAUCCAGCCAUCCCGCGUGUGCGAUGAAGGCCUUCGGGUUGUAAAGCACUUUUGGCAGGAAAGAAACGUCGCGGGUUAAUACCCCGCGAAACUGACGGUACCUGCAGAAUAAGCACCGGCUAACUACGUGCCAGCAGCCGCGGUAAUACGUAGGGUGCAAGCGUUAAUCGGAAUUACUGGGCGUAAAGCGUGCGCAGGCGGUUCGGAAAGAAAGAUGUGAAAUCCCAGAGCUUAACUUUGGAACUGCAUUUUUAACUACCGGGCUAGAGUGUGUCAGAGGGAGGUGGAAUUCCGCGUGUAGCAGUGAAAUGCGUAGAUAUGCGGAGGAACACCGAUGGCGAAGGCAGCCUCCUGGGAUAACACUGACGCUCAUGCACGAAAGCGUGGGGAGCAAACAGGAUUAGAUACCCUGGUAGUCCACGCCCUAAACGAUGUCAACUAGCUGUUGGGGCCUUCGGGCCUUGGUAGCGCAGCUAACGCGUGAAGUUGACCGCCUGGGGGAGUACGGUCGCAAGAUUAAAACUUAAAGGAAUUG